AAUAUUUAGACUUCAAAAAGUGUAUUAAAAAUAAUAUACUGAAAGUAACAAAUGAAGAACUAAAAAUGAAUAAUAUAGACUGGAUUAACAAUAUACAUUAUUUUAAUGAAACAUAUAGUUUGUUAGAUUAUUAUCAUUUAAUUAAUGAAAGUACAAAAAAAAAGAAUAAUGAUUGCUUGUUCAUUAAUUUGAUUAACGAUUCAAUAAUUGCAAAUGAAGCAAAAAAAAAUAUAGAUAAUUCGUAUUUUGAAAAUAAUAAGGUUAAUAAUGAUAAUAAAAAAAUAAAUGAUAUUACAAUGUUUUAUGAUUAUGAAACGUCUAAAAGUUGUUACAUUAGGUACUUAAAUGAUGUUUAUCGUUUAAUGAAUGAUAGGUUAAAAUGUGUUCAGGUGAAUUGUACAGAAAAAGGUGGUAUUGAUACAAGGUUUUUAGCGCGUAUUACUGCGGGUACUAAUACAUAUGCUACUGCUAGUGAUAUAGAUAUAGAUAUAACUGCCAAUGGUGUUAUAAAUAACAGACAAAAUUGUAAGAAUAAUACAGAAAAAGGUGCACAACAUAAUAAUGAUGUUAAGGAUGCAACUCUAAAUAGUAGUUCAAAUAAUUUACAGUUAAAAUUACUAGAAGGGGAAGACAAUAUAUGUAUGCCAGUCAGUAGAUUGAGCAAUAAUGAUAACAUUGCACAAGUUGAAGUAGAUGUAGAUAGCCAAAAGGGAAAUUAUAAUAAUACAAAAGAUGAUAGGAACGAUGUAGAAACAUACUGGGUAGAUGAACAGGAUAAAAAUAAUAAAAAAAUAGAUACAGAAUAUUUAGUUAAUAAGCAUAUUGAGAUAAACAGCAGUAUACAUAAUGAAAAUGACACAAUUGGUAAAGAAGUGAUUGGACAGGAACACAACAAAGUCGGUCAUGAUGUUAGUAGUGGUAGUGGUAAUAAGACGAAUGAAAGGCUAAAUGUACAGCAUGGUGCUGAUAGGAAUAAUGAUUUAUUGGGUUAUUUAUUUGCAGUACAAAAAUAUACUCGUAGUGAAAACGACUUAAUAAGUAACAUUUUGUAUAUGUAUUUAGACAAAGUGAUUAAUAAUGUAAAGAAAGAUAACGAACUGACAUUUAUUGUGGACAUGGAACGGGAUAAAAAAACUGAAGGGGAUAAAAAAAAAACAGAAGGGGGUAAAAAAAAAACAGAAGGGGAUAAAAAAAAAACAGAAGAGGAUAAAAAAAAAACAGAAGAGGGUAAAAAAAAAACAGAAGAGGGUAAAAAUAUAUUAACAAAUGUGGAUGAAGAAAAAAAAAAAAGUUUGAAUAUAGAGAUUUUUAAAUUUGAUUUAAAAGAAAGAGACAUAAAAGUAAUUGAAGAGAACAUAAAUUAUGGAAUGUGCCUGUUGGUUAAUAAAGUAAGACAAUUAGUAAAUUAUAAAAGCAGUAAUUUGAAUAAUUUACUUUUGCAUGCACAAUUGUUUGAACAUACACAAAAAAAUAUAGACUUGAUAAAAGAAAAUAAUAUUAAAAUAGGAGAAAUAAAAAAAGAAGAAAAAAAAAUAAAGUUAUUAUAUUUACUACAUAAUUUAUAUAAUAUAUGUAAUAAUUAUAAGAAAAAUUAUUUUUAUGAUGGAGCAACAAAUAAUAUGGAGAUAGCAAAUUUAUGGAAACUACUUUUUUUAAAAACAUGUAAAACAUUAAUGCAAAAUUAUGGGUUAAUAACAGUUUAUAAUGAAUAUGAUAUUUUACUAAACAAGAGAAGUGAUAAAAAAAAUGCUGGUGUUUUAAACUUUAUUAAAAAUGGAAAACUCACAAAUAAUUAUUUUGAGCAAAUACAUAAAAUGGCUAUGAGGGGUAGUGCUGAUAGUUUGGUUUUAAACAAUCAUAGCAUGUGUAAUAUAGGAAUGGGAAGGUGGCUUGCCACAAAUAGUAUUGGCGAAGUUGUUGUUAAAACGAGGAAUAAUGGUGUAAGUGCUUCAAGUGCUACCCUGGGUGUUAAUACUGUAAGUGAUCCGAGUGGUAGAACAUGUCAAAGCGAACGACAUAUCUCACAGGAUGACCAAAAUAAACAGCAUAACACUAACCAGUGUGAUGAAAUCGAAGUCGAAAAAAUAAAAGAAUUUUACAACAAAGCAAAAAAAAUAAAUAUAUGUAAUAGAGAAGGUUAUUUGAUAAUUAGUAACAAGGGUUGUAAAGAGUUUAGUAUAUGUAUAAAUGUGAAAAAAAUGGAAAAAACAAAGUUUCUUCGUAAAAUAAUAAAAAAGGUCAAAUGUUAUAUAAAUGGAUUAAAUAUUAUUAAUACCUUUCGUUUUGAUACUUUACCAAUGGUUGGAUAUGAACAAUUAAAAAGUGAGCUUUUUUAUAGGAAAGGAAAUAUUUUAAGUAAAUUGAAUAAAAUUAUUUUGUUUUUGUAUCGAAAUAAUUUUAUUGAAGCAGGUGAGGAAUUUAGGUAUAGCUGUAAUGAUGAAAAUACUGAGGAAGCGGGUAAAAAGUUUUUAGCAUUUAUGGGAAAUGAAUGUGAAAAAAAGAAUGAAGUAGUAUUAAAACAAGAAUUAGGAAAUAAGCAUCUAAGAAGUCCUAUGACUUAUGAGAAUAUAAAUGGUGACAUUGAUGGAACUUUUAAAAAAAUUACACAUAAUGAUGAUGUUUUAGAUAAACAUAUAAAGCAUGGUAGUAAAACGAAAGGCGAAGGUAGUAAGAAAAAGAAAAGUAAAAAAAAAAAAGAAAAUGGUACUAGUAAGAAAAAUGGUACUAGUAAGAAAAAUGGUACUAGUAAGAAAAAUGGUACUAGUAAGAAAAAUGGUACUGGUAAGAAAAAUGGUACUAGUAAGAAAAAUGAUAGUCGUAAUAAAAAUGGUACAAGCGAGGGUUUCAUUAAGAAAAAAAAAAAAAAAAUAUGUAGAAAUAAAAAAAAUAAAAGAGUUAGUAAUAGGGUUGAUGGUGAUGUCAGUAGUAGCGUUGGUAGAGGUGGAAAUGUUAUACAUGAAAACCUUAUUCAUAAAUCGAACGAAAUAUUAUGCGAAGAAGCAAAUAGUCAUAAUAGGGUAACUUAUAACUGUAAUUAUGAAAAAUAUAACAUGUUUGAUAGCAGUUUAAUUGAAGAAUGUUUUUUAUCUUCAUUAAAAAUAUGUUUUAUGGAAAAUAGAUCUUGGAUAACAUGGGCAGAUUAUUGUUAUAAUCUUUUUAAAC
rnacentral:lncRNA from 1 species